CCUGCGCCUCCUCCGCCGCCUGCUCCUGCGGGAAGGGCCUCCGCCGCGGCGCGCCUCUCGCCUCUGCUUCUCCUUCCCUCCUCUCCGCGCGCCCCUCCAGAAUGUUCAUCCGUAAUCUACAUAACUCCUCCUUCCCGGGGUCUGCCCGACUCCCGGGUGCUCGGCGCGCGCGCGGACACGCGCACACACAUAUGCACGCGCACACACAUAUGCACACGCACACACACACACACACACACACGUCUGCAAACGAGCACACACACAACCCGACCUGCGCGCGCUUCUUAAAGGAGACGGCUCGUAAAGGGGAAUCGCGCUCUGGAAGCAGCCAGCGCGCGCGAGGGGCCCUGGAUGAGGACCGCGUCUGUGACACACCGCCCACCCUCAUCCCCGAGGCGGGCACCCGGGAACCUGGGCGGCUCCAUCCUUUCGUCUCGCCCUCCCCGCGCCGUGUACCUAGAAACAAGUGCGCCCCUCCCCUGCCCGGCACUGGGUGGGGCGCAGGCUGUGGACCCCCGUGUGGGCCGGGCCUGGUCCUGGAGACCGACCGGCGUCCUCAGUCGAGCCGCCCUGCAAGGCCAGGGGGCUCUGGGAAUCGGGGGGAGCGCCGGGGUCAUUGUGCUCUGCUUGGGGACUCCGGUCGGUCGGCCGGCUGGCCAAGUUUGGGAAGCCUGAGAUGGCAAGUCCCAAGCGUCCGAAACUUUGUUGGGGUCCACCAGCCGAGCCCGCGGCCUCCUGUCUCCCUGAACCCCGCCUCCGCCUUCCGGGCUCCGGCAGUAGGCACAGGGUUUGGCGGGGUCGGUUCUAGUCCAAUAAGGAAGAUGCUCUGUCCCGGGGACGCACGUACCUAUUGGGACCCAGGAGACGUGGUCCUGGUGUGAACAAAACAUCAGGCCAGACCAGCAGAGGGGAAGAGGAGCCCGCGGGAAGAACCGCAGGCGAGACGGAGAAUGAGGGCCAUUCAGGGUGUGACAGCCGCCUCGGCGAGGCUUAGAGGGACUCACCAGGGAGAUGCGCAGGUCAGCUGGUCGAGCAAAAGUAGGCCUGCAAGACGUCGUGAUGAUGGAGAAAAUGAUGGUGACAAAAGAUAACUUUCCAGUGAAUGGUUAUUCGAGAGGGAGAAUUCAGACGUGGAUUUUCUGACUCCCGGUUCAGUGCAUUUCCUGCCACCCUCCAGUGACUUUCCAUAUAGAAAUCCAUUUCUGCUUGUAAUAGUUUCAUAAGCCGAAGUUGGAGAUGACUUACAUCAAAGACACAAUUAGAAGGCAAUGUGAAAGCAGGGUCAUUAUGUAGAACUGAUAUGGUGCUGUGUGGCCAUAUAAAGUAACAAAAUGUGGUGGGGAGUAAUUGUCAAUAAAUCAAGAAUCGUUUUUAUGUAUAGAGUAAUCCCUCCUUAUCCACAUGGAAUACAUUCUAAGACCACCCGACCCCCCAGGAUGCCUGGAACCCAGGAUCAUACUGAACCCUGUAUAUACUAUGGUUUUUUUCUAUACAUACAUACGUAUGAUAAAGUUUAAUUUAUAAAUUAGGCACAGUAAGAGAUUGACUACAAUAACUAAUAAAAAAGAACGAUUAUAACAAUAUACCGUAAUAAAAGUUACGUGAACGUGGUCCAUGUGUUUCUCUCAAAAUGCCUUAUUGUGCUCUGCUCACCCUUCUAGUGAUGGCAGGGGACGACGCAAUGCCUGCUUGAGGAGAUGCAGUGAGAUUGAAAUAGUUCUUCAAGUUCGAGAAGACAGAAGCAAAAUGAAAUUUGAGUAACAAACAUUGUCUCUGUUGAUAGCUGACAUAAAUGAAUAUUCCCC
ensembl:lncRNA